GCCUACGGGGGGCAGCAGUAGGGAAUUUUCGUCAAUGGGCGCAAGUCUGAACGAGCAAUGCCGCGUGAACGAGGAAGGUCUUCGGAUCGUAAAGUUCUGUUGAAGGGGAAAAAGAGCGGAGAGAGGAAAUGGUCUCCGAUUGAUAUUACCCUUCGAGGAAGUCACGGCUAACUACGUGCCAGCAGCCGCGGUAAUACGUAGGUGGCGAGCGUUAUCCGGAAUGAUUGGGCGUAAAGGGUGCGUAGGCGGCCUGCUAAGUCUGGAGUGAAAGGUACCGGCUCAACCGGUACAGGCUCUGGAAACUG
rnacentral:rRNA from 1 species